AAAGGUGCAUGAGUGGUGUUUGGUUUGUUACGGGUGGUUGGCUAUUUGCUUGCGCAACAACUUCUACCUGGCAUACCUCUUCAGUCUUGUGUCAAUGCUUUUAUUGCAUUGAAUGCAUGAUGGGUUUCUUGUGUUGCAUGCCUAAUUAAUGGUAUCACUUGAUGAAUUGGUUUUACUUUCGUCUGGCAUUGCCUAUGCGAUGUGAGAUGAACCUUGAAGCAGCCUUUGUGAUCCACUCUUUUGAUGCAUACGCAUUGAUUUUGUGGCUCAUUGAGUGUUGCUCGGUCUCAUGGAUACGGAACCUGGUGUGGGCAUGGAAUCUUAAUGGUUCCUUGUUUGCCCAAGUUUAGCUUUUCUAAAACGAUUGUCUAUCAUGUGUUAACGUGGUAGACUACUUCGAAUAUGAAUGCUACCUGG
rnacentral:misc_RNA from 1 species